rnacentral:lncRNA from 1 species
CCGAAAAUCUUACCGGUAAAUAGGUUUGGGUAUCGUUCUUUCAUAGAGUUCUCGGUUUCCCAAGUAGCUUCUUCGAUCCCGUGUUUGAGCCAUAACACCUUUACUAACGGAACCCUUUUGUUUCGCAACUCCUUCACUUCACGAGCUAGGAUACGAAUCGGUUCUUCUUCAUAACUCAUAUCGGAUUGAAUUUCAACCUCGGAGGGAUUAAUUAUGUGCGAAGGAUCAGAUCUGUAAUGUCGAAGCAUCGAAACAUGAAAAACGUUGUGAAUCUUCUCGAGAUCAGGGGGUGAAAUCAAUCUAUAUGCCAC